CAGUCGCCACGGUAAUACAGAGGGUGCGAGCGUUAAUCGGAUUUACUGGGCGUAAAGCGUGCGUAGGCGGCUUUUUAAGUCGGAUGUGAAAUCCCUGAGCUUAACUUAGGAAUUGCAUUCGAUACUGGUUAGCUAGAGUGUGGGAGAGGAUGGUAGAAUUCCAGGUGUAGCGGUGAAAUGCGUAGAGAUCUGGAGGAAUACCGAUGGCGAAGGCAGCCAUCUGGCCUAACACUGACGCUGAGGUACGAAAGCAUGGGGAGCAAACAGGAUUAGAUACCCCGGUAGUCCCUGUCUCUUAUAC
rnacentral:rRNA from 1 species